AAUCAACGCUGGCGGCGUGCCUAACACAUGCAAGUCGAACGCGAAAGCCCCGCAAGGGGUAAGUAGAGUGGCAAACGGGUGAGUAACACGUGGGUGACCUGCCUUCGAGUGGGGGAUAACGUCCCGAAAGGGACGCUAAUACCGCAUGACAUCCUGCUUUUGAAAAAGCGGAGAUCAAAGCUGGGGAUCGCAAGACCUAGCGCUUGAAGAGGGGCCCGCGCCUGAUUAGCUAGUUGGUGAGGUAACGGCUCACCAAGGCGACGAUCAGUAUCCGGCCUGAGAGGGCGGACGGACACACUGGGACUGGGACACGGCCCAGACUCCUACGGGGGGCAGCAGUGGGGAAUUGUUCGCAAUGGGCGCAAGCCUGACGACGCAACGCCGCGUGGAGGACGAAGAUCUUCGGGUCGUAAACUCCUGUCGAGCGGGACGAACGCUUCGCGGAUGAAUAAUCCGCGGAAUUGACGGUACCGCUAAAGGAAGCCCCGGCUAACUCCGUG
rnacentral:rRNA from 1 species